UCAAUAUUUCUCCACGUCAUCGAUCCCCGUCGUUCAAGAUCCAACGGUAUUCAUCACAAGAAGACAAAAACGUCUCAAACCACAAUGGUCGAACCCACUUGAACCCUAGCGCAGAACCGGUUCGCCCCAUAGCGAGGUUUAUCCUCUAUUUGCCUGCCCUAACCAGUAAACAAUAGAGAGAGAAAAUUAUAAAACAGAGCUAGAGAGAGAAACCAAACCCAAAAAUCUGCAAAAACCAGUGUAUUCGAAAUUCCACACUACAAUUUCAAUCUCUUCGUUCCUCUUCCACAGCCGUUGAUUUCAAUUUUCAAUUUCGUUCAUCGUAUUCCCCAUACACGAAAACACGUUAGGGUUCCGUUACAGCUUACGAAUUCAUUCAUAGCAGAAAUUUCUGACAAGAAUUUCCACUUCGUUCAAAUUCGUGUGCUAGAUUAAAGGUGUAAUCCAAAGCGCGUGUUUUUUUUGGUUUGCGGUUUUGUAUGAGAUAUAGGAUUUCGUAUUUGAUGGACGAGAUCUGGGAGAGGGCUGUGGAAACGGCGUUAGAAGGCGAGAAAGACCACGCCUCUGCUCGAACGUUAACCCUUGACGGCGCCGUUAAGUGUGUACAAGGACGUUUACCUCCUCCGAGCCUUCUUGAAAGGUUCCAGAACCUUCAGCACCUUUCGAUUGCAAACGUUGGUGUUUCUUCUCUGGAGCAGUUCCCGAGGCUCCGGAGUCUUCAGAAGUUGAACCUCUCCGACAACCGGAUCGCCGGAGGACUUGAGUUUUUGGUUCAAGCGGGGCUCGAUUCGCUGCGUGACCUCGAUCUAUCCAAUAAUAGGAUUCAGUCGAUCGAGGAUCUUGCUCCGUUAGCGCAGUUGAAGCUUGUUUCGUUGGAUCUGUAUGAGUGUCCUGUUACUCGUGUUAAGGACUAUCGAUCUAGGGUUUUUGGUUUGAUUAAGUCGCUUAAGUUCUUGGAUAAGAUGGAUGCGGAGGAGAAUGAGAGGCCGGAGUCCGAUGAGGAGGAGGAGGAUGAAGAGGAGGAAGAAGAGGAGGAGGAUCCUGGGAGUGGUGAGAUUGAUGGAGGCGAAGAAGAUCGACAGUUUGGGAUGAGCAAUGGUCAUAGUGAGGGUGUUGAUGGAGUUGUUGAUGCUGAUGAGGAAGAUGAGAGUGAUGCGGAUGAGGAGGUGACCGAGACUUCAAGAGGGAGGGUGAAUGGGUUGAACCAUCAGGAGAAUGGGUUCCAUGUUGCCCCUGCUGUGGGUGAUGAUGUGGAGGAGGAAGAUGAUGAUGAUGACGACGAUGAUGAUGAUUCUGGUGAAGAGAUUGAUGAGGAGGAGGGUGAUGAUGAUGAUGUGGUUGAGGUUCAUGAGAUUGAUGAUAGUGAUGACGACGAUGAUGGGGUCGAGUUUGAUGAGGAUGAUGACAAUGAUGAUGAUGAUGAAGAGGUUGAUAACGAUGAAGGGGAUUUUGCUGAACCCGAGAGUACUUCUGGACGGUUGGUGAGUACUGAAGGUGAGAUCGAUGGGCACGAGCAAGGGGAGGAAGAUGGAGACGAAGAUGACAACGGGGAGACUGGUGAAGAUGAGAUGGGAGUAGAAGAAGAAGAUGAUGACGAUGAUGAUGGAGAGUUUGAAGAUGAUGAUGAAGAAGAAGACUGUGGUGCUGGAUAUCUUGUUCAGCCAGUUGGACAGGCUGAGGCUCUCAAUGAUGAUGCUGCUGACAUUUUCGAAGUGGAAAACGAGGAUGGUGAAGAGGAGGAGGAAGUUGACGAUGAGGAGGACGACGAUGUUCAGGAGGUGUUGCCUCCUGCCUCUUCACACCCCAAGAGGAAGAGGGACAAUGAUGGUGAAGAUGACGAGGAGGAUGAAGAUGAAGCAGCACUGACAAAGCCAUCCAAGAAGCACCAUUGACGACACACCAUUAUAAAUUAUAUCAUGUUCUUGUUCUGUGAUGACUUUCCAUGUAUUGGAAGCAGAGAAACCUCAGUUUAGAUAUAGAACAAUGGUGUGUUUGGCUUGUAAAAAGGAGCUUGCUUGGUGAUUCUUGGAGGGAAGCAAAGGGUGCGAACCUUUUAAAAUUUUCCCAAACCUCUAGUUUAAUGGAAGCACUUUUUGGCGGCAGAAAAAGGAAAAACUUGCAAAACAAAUGUAGAUAUAUGAAAAUGAUUCCUAUCAAGCAAGUUGGGUGCCAUUGUAAUGACGUGGCCAGUUCAUAAAUUAUUGCCAUUGAUUGUUACGUGGAUUUAUUCCAGUUUCUAUCUUAUAAAUUUAUUGAGCUUGAUGCCAAUAUAAAUAGGAAAAAAGAAAUCUUGGUCACGUCGUAAUAGUCAAUUGCCAAGUAAUGUUCCAAUGGGCCCCUCGAUAUAACUAUGCACGAUUUUGUAUAUCCUUGAGUAUUUAAGCAUCCAUCCAACAAAGCAAUUCUCAUCGAUCAAGCAUAUCUUAAUCUUACAACACGCCACGUGGUUUAAUCAGCUUAUAUUUAUCAUCAACUGAACGGAGCAAGCGGGAAAGUUCGGGUGGCACACACGCAGGUCCAUGCGCGUAGCAAUGACAUCAGGCCUGCUUGAGCGGCGGACUUCUUUUGAUUUAGUGGGGAGCUCCUGUCCAUGAGAAUUCCUUGAGUGGCACAUCACAAAAACCUGCCUUGUAUCACGGGGUUAUAUGCAUGCACACAAACUUACACUGUUUGUAAUUAAUUAUUUAUUAUUAAAAAACGUGUUCAAAUAAA